UGGGGAAUUUUGGACAAUGGGCGCAAGCCUGAUCCAGCAAUGCCGCGUGAGUGAAGAAGGCCUUCGGGUUGUAAAGCUCUUUUGUCAGGGAAGAAACGGCAGUUUCUAAUACAGAUUGCUAAUGACGGUACCUGAAGAAUAAGCACCGGCUAACUACGUGCCAGCAGCCGCGGUAAUACGUAGGGUGCAAGCGUUAAUCGGAAUUACUGGGCGUAAAGCGUGCGCAGGCGGUUUUGUAAGUCUGUCGUGAAAUCCCCGGGCUCAACCUGGGAAUGGCGAUGGAGACUGCAAGGCUAGAAUCUGGCAGAGGGGGGUAGAAUUCCACGUGUAGCAGUGAAAUGCGUAGAUAUGUGGAGGAACACCGAUGGCGAAGGCAGCCCCCUGGGCUAAGAUUGACGCUCAUGCACGAAAGCGUGGGGAGCAAACAGGAUUAGAUACCCUGGUAGUCCACGCCCUAAACGAUGUCUACUAGUUGUCGGGUCUUAAUUGACUUGGUAACGCAGCUAACGCGUGAAGUAGACCGCCUGGGGAGUACGGUCGCAAGAUUA
rnacentral:rRNA from 1 species